AAAUUACGUAGAAUCAUUUAAAACGCGUUUUGACACGAUAUGUGUAGUUGGUUUUACCGCUCUGCUACUUUAAUUGCAAAUGCACUCCCGGGAAACUCACUUACCCUUGGAAAAUAUCAUCGGGAAAUAUCUCAGUGACAGGUUGAGUAGAGUAGCUCUCUCCGAUGCUCCAUUUUGCAGGAAAGACAAACAUUCCCAAGACAAUAGCUUCCACCUAGGUCUCCAUGGUGAGCAAAAUUAUGGAAUGGCCUUCUCAACAUUCAUUAUCUUAUUCUAGAAAAAGAUCAAGAGCAGCACUUGAAUGGGUGUGCAAUUGUACACCUGUCAAAUGCCUGUCAGCAGUGCAACGUGUUACUUGUUCGUCUGAAGCCAAGGGUCGCACAGCUGCACGUCUUUUGGCAGCCGUUGCCAACCGCCUGGUCAGACAUCAGGCGAAGAAAUUUAACAUCAGACCACAGAAUCUAAAUGAUACAGAAAAGCUAUAAUGUUAUUUAGCGAUAGUGGCAAAGCCUAUUCUAUGGGACAGUCAGCCUCAAAUGGAUUUCGCACUCCUUAAAUGAAUGCUUCCGGAAAAAUAAAUCAACUUGUUGAUAUGACUCGGUUUAGGCAAUGCGCACUAUUAAUUGCUUUGUGCCUUCAAGGCUAUCAAAGUUAAAAGAAAACAAUUUAUUGUUCAUUAGUUUAAUAUUAACAUAGCUUUGUGUUAACCAGAUGGAAAUAUUUUCCGGUUGAAACUAUUUUCUUCCGGUUCUGGAAGACAUCCUACUGUCAAAGUGUUCAAAGCACAUCGAAGGAUAAAAUUUAAUACUGUCGUUUGUGUGCAGUUUAUUAACCUACAGGUUUCUAACAGGUACUUAGGUCCUGAAGAAAACAAAGAAAACCCGAAAAUACUGUAGAUGACUAAUUUUAGGUCAAUUUAUACAUUCAUUUUCUCGGCAAUGUCUAGAAACUAAUAUAUGCAAGAACAAAAAAUAUAUCCAUAAUUACUCUAAAGAAAUCAAGUAUAAAAUAAAGGUUUGAGUUUUGUAAAA